rnacentral:rRNA from 1 species
GAAAACUCCGGUGGUAUGCGAUGGGUCCGCGUCUGAUUAGGCAGUUGGCGGGGUAACGGCCCACCAAACCGACGAUCAGUAGCCGGCCUGAGAGGGCGGACGGCCACACUGGGACUGAGACACGGCCCAGACUCCUGCGGGAGGCAGCAGUGGGGAAUAUUGCACAAUGGGGGAAACCCUGAUGCAGCGACGCCGCGUGAAGGAAGAAGUAUCUCGGUAUGUAAACUUCUAUCAGCAGGGAAGAAAAUAGACGGUACCUGACUAAGAAGCCCCGGCUAACUACGUGCCAGCAGCCGCGGUAAUACGUAGGGGGCAAGCGUUAUCCGGAUUUACUGGGUGUAAAGGGGGCGCAGACGGCCAUGGCAAGCCCGGUGUGAAAGGCAGGGGCAUAACCCCUGGACUGCACUGGGAACUGUCAGGCUGGAGUGCCGGAGGGGUAAGCGGAAUUCCUGGUGUAGCGGUGAAAUGCGUAGAUAUCAGGAGGAACACCGGCGGCGAAGGCGGCUUACUGGACGGCAACUGACGUUGAGGCCCGAAAGCGUGGGGAGCGAACAGGAUUAGAUACCCUGGUAGUCCACGCCGUAAACGAUGUGUACCAGGUGUCGGAUAUCAAGGAUAUCCG